rfam:Oscillatoriales cyanobacterium 'hensonii' Contig_44, whole genome shotgun sequence.
GCUUCCGUGAGGAAGGGUCUGGAGGAAGCCAGCGGCAAACCUACAAGCUGACGGACAGAAACGUCAUAGAAGGCCGAGAUAGUCC